rnacentral:rRNA from 1 species
CCUACGGGAGGCUGCAGUAGGGAAUAUUGCUCAAUGGGGGAAACCCUGAAGCAGCAACGCCGCGUGGAGGAUGAAGGUCUUCGGAGUGUAAACUCCUUUUUUUAGAGAAGAUAAUGACGGUAUGUAACGAAUAAGCACCGGCUAACUCCGUGCCAGCAGCCGCGGUAAUACGGAGGGUGCAAGCGUUACUCGGAAUCACUGGGCGUAAAGAGCGCGUAGGCGGGUUAGCAAGUCAGAUGUGAAAUCCUAUGGCUUAACCAUAGAACUGCAUUUGAAACUGUUAGUCUAGAGUAUGGGAGAGGUAGGCGGAAUUCUUGGUGUAGGGGUAAAAUCCGUAGAGAUCAAGAGGAAUACUGAUUGCGAAGGCGACCUACUAGAACAUAACUGACGCUGAUGCGCGAAAGCGUGGGGAGCAAACAGGAUUAGAUACCCGUGUAGUC